rnacentral:sRNA from 12 species
AUUCGUAGUGAUACGAACACAUAAUUGAAGCACAUUAUGUGGCUUGGCAGAGCUUAAAAACUGUU